UUCCUGACUAGAUUAAUUCUGUUUUCACAACAAAUUCGUUCCUUGACUAAAAUUUCACGGGCAUUUGUCAAGUAGAAACUUAUUUCGAUAUGGGUCCCCAUUUGCCUAUGGGGGAUGUAAAUGGGUUUUGAGAGCUAGUUUUGUCGUUGGCCCCAUCUGUCUUCAGCUGUUGAUAUUAAUGAAACCAUCAACAUGAAACUUUGAUGGAGAGGGUCAACUUCGAAAUAUUGGAACUAAAGUAGGAGGAGAUCAAGCAUUCAUUAAAGUUUAAAUAUGUCAAAAGUAACUAUUUGAAUUAGAAUUGGAUUAAAUGUAAGAAUGCAUUUACAAUAUUCUUUGAAAUUUUUGGUUUCCCCAGAUCAUCAAAACUAAGAAAAAGGAUGAAUCCCAGUAAAGUACUUCCAACCAUUGUUCAGAAACCCAAAAACUUCACUUGAAAUGAUGUCCAUCCGGGAUGUGUGAAUUCAAAGACUUAGAUGCCUUUACUUGACUCGACUCAAUAUUUUUAUAAAUAAAUUAAUAAUGUUAUCUCAAUCUUGUGCAGCUGGUUAGAUGCAUCUCCUCAUUGGAACCUGAUUUCACCCACUCUCUCUGUCUAUCUGACUGUCUGUUUGUCUUUAAGAACAGCAUGGGCGAGUGAAGGAGAUAACUCGGGUAUUCGAGGUUGUCAACGGUGAAUUAUCUUAUGUGGUUCAGAUGGCUACCCAUUUGCAUGAUCUUCAACCACAUCUAAAAGCAUUACUCAAGAAGCUUUGAUGCAUUUGUUUUAAGACAAAAAAUGAUAAUUCAGUGUCUCUAACAUCUACAAUGAGAGCAGCUGCUGGUAAUGUAGAUACUCUGUUUUGGCAUCUAUGUAUGCCUUAAAGGGCUCAUGAAUUAAUGCAAUGGGUGUCUUUUGGCCUUUGGUUU